rnacentral:rRNA from 1 species
ACGCACGCUGGCGGCAUGCCUCACCCCUGCCAGUCGCACGCGACCUUCGGGUCUAGUGGCGCACGGGUGCGUAACGCGUGGGAACCUGCCCUUAGGUUCGGAAUAACUCCCCGAAAGGGGUGCUAAUACCGGAUAAUGUCUUCGGACCAAAGAUUUAUCGCCUUUGGAUGGGCCCGCGUUGGAUUAGCUAGUUGGUAGGGUAAAAGCCUACCAAGGCGACGAUCCAUAGCUGGUCUGAGAGGAUGAUCAGCCACACUGGGACUGAGACACGGCCCAGACUCCUACGGGAGGCAGCAGUGGGGAAUAUUGGACAAUGGGCGAAAGCCUGAUCCAGCAAUGCCGCUUGAGUGAUGAAGGCCUUAGGGUUGUAAAGCUCUUUUACCCGGGAUGAUAAUGACAGUACCGGGAGAAUAAGCUCCGGCUAACUCCGUG